UACGAAGGGGGCUAGCGUUGCUCGGAAUCACUGGGCGUAAAGCGCACGUAGGCGGAUCUUUAAGUCAGAGGUGAAAUCCCAAGGCUCAACCUUGGAACUGCCUUUGAUACUGGGGAUCUCGAGUCCGGAAGAGGUUGGUGGAACUGCGAGUGUAGAGGUGAAAUUCGUAGAUAUUCGCAAGAACACCAGUGGCGAAGGCGGCCAACUGGUCCGGUACUGGACGCUGAGG
rnacentral:rRNA from 1 species